GAACCUGCUGAUUGUGCCAUUUUAGCCUGGUGUUCAAGCAAAUGUGUGAGGGCAUCACUUAUUUGGUGUGUGUGAGGUUGUGUGUGUGCCCCUAUGUGCGCUUGCUCUCCCCCAAAAUCCCCACAUGCACUGGCUCCAACUCCUCCAAUCCCAACGGCCAUCAUUUUCACAUGAAGGUCAGAAGGGAGGUCAGCCAAAUGUCAUUUGAGGCUGUCUUGCCAAUGUGAGCCUAACACUCCUGAACAUGGAGAAGCUUCAAGGCACAACUGGCUGAAGAACUGACCUCCCCACUGAAUGAAUGGAAGCCAAGAGUGGAGGGGUGUGGCUGGACAUAAAGGGUGGUGCCAGGACAUGUGAUCCCCAGAUCUUUUCUGCCUCUACAUAGCUCACUAGGGCUAUCGUUGAGUCCACAAUAGCACUGCUGGGUUGCAUUUAUUAUCUGCUGGAUGUGUACAUUCAUAUGUUGCUUGAAGCCUCCACUGAUCAGUUGUUGAGCUGUAACUCCAUGCCUACUGCCUGCAGGGAUUGACCAUGUGUCCCGUUCCCCUUGGGAACAUGAUUUCACAGUCGAUCCAUCUCUAUCUCUACCU